AUGAGGCUGUUCUUCAAGCUCUUCGCCGUCUUGGCCAUCAUGGCUGCUCUGUCGGCCACAAAUGUGCCGUCGCCAGUUGGUGUGUGGGCGAGGACGCCGGGGAGAGCGCCACCUUCGCCAACGCCGUCCGCGCUCAGGGGUCGCGUGAAGCCGAUUAAUCCCGCGCCACAGCCUCCGCCACCAGCGGAAAUGGGUAGAGUGCGGCCAUUGUGUUCACCGCCUCCGCGACCAUCACCAAAUCACCAGCGAAGCGUCGGCUCUACGCACUUUCCUCCACCACCAUUACGGUGCCACUAG
rnacentral:rRNA from 1 species